AUUGAACGCUGGCGGCAGGCCUAACUCAUGCAAGUCGAAUGGUAACAGGAAACAGCUUGCUGUUUCGCUGACGAGUGGCGGACGGGUGAGUAAUGUCUGGGAAACUGCCUGAUGGAGGGGGAUAACUACUGGAAACGGUAGCUAAUACCGCAUAACGUCGCAAGACCAAAGAGGGGGACCUUCGGGCCUCUUGCCAUCAGAUGUGCCCAGAUGGGAUUAGCUAGUAGGUGGGGUAACGGCUCACCUAGGCGACGAUCCCUAGCUGGUCUGAGAGGAUGACCAGCCACACUGGAACUGAGACACGGUCCAGACUCCUACGGGAGGCAGCAGUGGGGAAUAUUGCACAAUGGGCGCAAGCCUGAUGCAGCCAUGCCGCGUGUAUGAAGAAGGCCUUCGGGUUGUAAAGUACUUUCAGCGGGGAGGAAGGGAGUAAAGUUAAUACCUUUGCUCAUUGACGUUACCCGCAGAAGAAGCACCGGCUAACUCCGUG
rnacentral:rRNA from 1 species